GGAGAGAUGGCAGAGUGGCUUAUUGCAAUCGUCUGCUAAGCGAUUAAGUCUAAGGGCUUCGUUGGUUCGAAUCCAACUCUCUUCGCCA
rnacentral:tRNA from 1 species